AUGGGCCAGAAAUUGUCCUGGUACCCUUUCACCAACACACAGAACCAGAAGACCCCUCCGUCCUGCAGCACCUGCCAUGAGCAUCGGCCUCCUGUGCUGUGCGGCCUUUUCUCUCCUGUGGGCAGGGGGGUCCUGGGCAGGGACCCUUGUGUGGAUUUCAAGGCCCAGCGCCUUCCCAUUGAGGGUGCAGCAGCAGCUUUGUUCCUCUCUGCAGGUCCAGGGAAUGCUGAUGUCACUCAGACCCCAAAAUUCCAGCUCCUGAAGACAGGACAGAGCCUGACACUGCAGUGUGCCCAGGAUAUGAACUAUAACUACAUGUUCUGGUAUCGACAAGACCCAGGUGUGGGGCUGAGGCGGAUUCAUUACUCAGUUGCUGCUGGUAUCACUGACAAAGGAGAAGUCCCCAAUGGCUACAAUGUCUCCAGAUUAAACAGAGAAGAUUUCCCGCUCAGGCUGGAGUCCGCGGCUCUCUCCCAGACAUCUGUGUACUUCUGUGCCAGCAGUGACAUCACAGUGCUGCACGGCCGUCUCCUCUCUGCACAUAAAGUCAGGUAGGCUCUUCCCUCCUCCCCCACCCAAGACUCAGGGAUGCCCUGGGCAGAGUUCUCUGCACCACGAACCUUGGUACCCCGACUGGCCCCAAGUGGCCCAGACAUUAUGAGCCUUGCUCUGUGCCAGGUGCCUCUGCAGGCAGUCUCAGCCAGGACUGGACUGGUCCCAGGUCCUCAUAAGUCUCCUUUGUUGCUCUGUCCUUUUCUCAGAGCUCUCCUUUUGGGGUGGGGCCAGGGCUUCCCCAGCUCCUACUUUUCUACCCAUCAUACUGGGUCCGAGGCCCCCAGGGUGGAACACAGAUUUGUAGUUCACAUCCAUCUAGACUCCCGUCUCUCCCUGGUGACCAUGUUGCUUCCUUUCGCUUGGGUUUCCCCCAGCCCCCACCCUCACAUGGUCUCUCCUGCAGCCCACCUUUCUCAUCUGGGCAGUAAUCCUCCAAGGCCUUGCUGGGUUUCUCCUCCCCUCACCUCCCCGCCCCUCUCUACUGCAGCCAUGAGGCGAGACCCUCUUCUGUGCCUCCUUCCUUCCCAUCGCAGAGAUUUCAAAGGGCAUUUUCUCUGCCCUGGGCUGGAGCCUCCCUUCCUCUAGUGGUUAGCUCCUACCUGUGCUUCAGAUCUCAGCAUGCUCAGCCCCUUCUGCAGGAAGCACUCCCUCCCCUCCCAGCUGAGAUCAACUUCUCUCAUAAGCUCUCAUAGAAUCAGAUGUCUGUUAGUAACCUUUAGCACCAUUGGGCUUUCUCAGAUACUUGUCUGAUUAUUUUUGUGC